UAAUACAUAUGUCGCAAGCGUUAUCCGGAUUUAUUGGGCGUAAAGCGCGUCUAGGCGGUUUACUAAGUCUGAUGUGAAAAUGCGGGGCUCAACUCCGUAUUGCGUUGGAAACUGGUAGACUAGAGUACUGGAGAGGUGGGCGGAACUACAAGUGUAGAGGUGGAAUUCGUAGAUAUUUGUAGGAAUGCCGAUGGAGAAGUCAGCUCACUGGACAGAUACUGACGCUAAAGCGCGAAAGCGUGGGAGCAAACAGGAUUAGAUACCCUGGUAGUCCACGCCGUAAACGAUGAUCACUAGGUGUUGGGAGUCAAAUCUCAGCGCCCAAGCUAACGCGAUAAGUGAUCCGCCUGGGGAGUACGUACGCAAGUAUGAAACUCAAAGGAAUUGACGGGACCCGCACAAGCGGUGGAGCAUGUGGUUUAAUUCGACGCAACGCGAGGAACCUUACCAGCGUUUGACAUCCUAAAGAGUCGGCAGAGAUGCUGAUGU
rnacentral:rRNA from 1 species